AUCGCGCCUUUGGGCUGUGAUUCCUCCCCUCACCCUGAGCUGACAGAUGAUGGAAACGCAUGACGAUCGUAUUACUCGGACGACAUCUAAUAAGAUUAUUCGGAAGGGACAUCAGGACUGCUGAUUGGCUAACUCUACCAAUCACGGUACGAUCGUCGUUGCAAACCGACCGAUUCAAAGGUUAUCGCCCAGCGGUGUUGCGGUGUGAACUAGGAAAUUGCCCGCAAUCGUGAGUGGGAUUGUUUGAUUACUAUUGAAAUCGUAUUCGAGCAGUCGGACAGGCAGUCGAGCAGUGAUACAGUACUCUACACAAAAAAGCAGCUGCAGCUACACACGACACACAAAGAUCGAUGGACAUGCCUCCCAAGUUGUUGGUAGAGGGGAAAUCCCACGCAGACGCAUCGGCAACAGCACCAGAACUGGUUUUCUGGUUUGCAUACAAAACAACAGUUGGACUGACGUGUGUUUGUUGCUCGACGCACAGAAGUAUGGACCGGUGUGGACGCAGUCGAAACACUAGCACUUCGAUCCAAUUAUGUAUUUUUAUCUGGAGAGUUUUAUGGCUUUGCUUUUAAGCGAUCCUUUCUCGAUCGGUUAAUACAAAUCAAGCAAGAUUGUGUAAUGAUGCUGACGUGCUGGUUGGUUUAACCAGAAGUAGUUCUUAUUUCCAUAACCAGAAGUGCCUAAUUUACAAUUUAAUAUGAAUAAGUUGGAGAGACAACACUGGCAUGCUGAUCGUUUAGUACAACUCAAGUUUAUUAAACCUUUUCUGCAAAGUAUAAUUCUACCGUACCAUGUAGCUACAUAAACCUUACGCUCUAUUACACUACGAUCGUUCUAAUUUACAUAAAGCAACGAACUAUAUUUCAUCUCUCUCUUUCUCUCUCUCUCUCUCUCUCUCUGUCUCGUGCAAAUAAACGGCAAAUUCAUUGUGUCGGUGUGACAUGAAAGAGUUGUUCGUCGGUUAAUCCACUGGUAACGAACCACACAAAAACCUGGGAAACUAGUCAAAGGUUCACUGUUUUGCAAUAAUCUAUAACUUGAUUGAUUUGCGUACGAGCUUGAUCGGAAUGAUUGAUGGCAAAAGAAACAACAACAAUAACAAGUAAAACCCAACUUAACAACUUUCUUCUCCCCUCACACUCACACACACACUGCCUACUCCUUGCGGUGGCCCACUUUUGAUGACGCCGCUCCGUUGUCGUUCUUCCAGUUGGUCAAUACCUUUUCGUGCUGCUUGCCCAAAAACGGUUCCCUUUUGCCAGUGCCUGUCCCAUCGAACCGGUUCGUGUGUGACGUGCCGUGCUGAACCGUUACGUGAUUGUUCCUGGCGAGUGGAGAAAGGAUUCAUUGUGCGGUUGGUUAUGCAAUGGAUGGGGGCACAGCAGUGCCAGCAGUAGCCCUUUGCUGCUUGGGCCGCUUCUUUGCACUAACCGUAUUUCACGCUUCUGCCGUCGCAGCGUGGUAGGAUCCUUCUUGCGCACGUACAGUGCGGCUGCAACGACGACCUCCUCAUGCACACUGCCAGCGUCCGGCACUCCGCCGAGCGGUUUGUCCGCCCGGGUGUCCUCUUGCGCGGGCAUGGACAGGACGCAUCCGACAACCAGCAGCAAAAGACA